ensembl:lncRNA novel transcript
AGGCGCCCACCGGAAUGCUCAGCGCUGCCGCACAGAGAGUCCGCAUCCGUGCCUGCCACCGGCCUAAGUUAUACCCGGAGCUACGACGACUUAUGAGAUGGGCGACUCUAGGACCCUCAUUUUCCAGACGAGAAAACGGAGGCACCUGCAGGUUCAGUGACUUGCCCAAGGUCACGCACCUGGUCAGCGGCAGAGACAGGACUCCCCCCGCCCGGGCCCGCGGAUUGCCGGGUCGGUUCUCAGUCACCGCACAGGUGCCCUGGAGAGUGCGACCACCCCCUGCCCUCCGCCCCGCGCCGGCCCUCGGCUCAGUGCCCCGCCCUUCCUGGAGCACGGCCUGCGCAUGCGCGCGCCCCAGGGCCCAGCCCUGUUCCUGCUCCGGCUCCUGCGGGGAUGGAUGCUUCACGCAGUAAGCGAGUAAGCGAGCCCUGGAGACCGGGGCCCUGGGUGUGCGGUCGGCUCAGUGCCACGCGGUGAGAUAGGCAUGGUUAUCAACCCACGCCAAGGCGGUUGUGUACCUGGCAUAGAAAACACUGCUGUUGAAUGUUGUUUCCAUAGUCAUUCGCCAGCGUCCACUGAUGAGAGGUGCCACCACGGACACCCGGCCUUGCUCCGUCGAAGCUUUGGUCCAUUAGGACCAAAGUCAGGCCCCAGCGGGCCUCCCUGCCAUUCCUGGACGGCCUCGCGUCCUCCCAGAGCCUGACCUUCUCUUAUCUCUGCAGCCUAAGUCGCGGAAGCGUAGACACCCGGCUUUUCCCGCGUGCUCUAUCGGGCUCCCCUGGACACGGAGGGUGGAGCAGAAAGAGCAGAGGGGCCGGUGGGAGCCAUGGGGAGUCCGCCUAGCUCCAGAGGACACCUUACCUGGAUCCGCCUUUGUAGCCUCCUCCUGGCUCUGGGGGCUGUCCUGUGGGGUCCGAGUAGCUGAAAGACAGCCCCUCCAUGUGAGGAAGCCCCCAACUGGGGAAAACCCCCUCGUGGACUCAUUCCUGUCCCUGCAUGUGGCCUUCACCUGACUGUCUGCAUUGAGGCAUCCUCUGCCAAGAGCAAUUUCAAAGUGGCAGGAAAGUGCUGCUUUCAACAUCUGCCACAUUUGCAAGAAGAGCAAAGGUGGCCCAUUUGAGACCACCCUUGAACUAAACCAUCCAGUGAGCCCCUGAGGUCGGGACAGAAGUGGCCAUGACCUUCCUCAAGCAGGGACUGUGGUGGAGCCCACCUUAUCCAGCACAAGGUGGCCUGCUGACUUCUGGUGACAGUGAUGCCAACUUCCUGGCUGUCCAAGGUUCAAAUCUUGGUCUUAAUCCUCCUGGCCUUCUCUCAUCAAUGGCCAGAGCCACCCUAGCUAACAAGGUGCCCAGGGACUCCGGGGUGGGAGAAGUCCAGCUUCUUCUUAGCUGAGGACAUUUGAGUCUCGUCACAGCCCCCAAAAGAAUACUCAUUUUUGUAGCUGGAGGGCCUGGCCUCUGUCUAUCUUUGCUUUUCCAGAAGCUGACAAGUACCUGCCGGAAAAACUGCCUCUUUUCCCUCCCGUGCUUGGAGCAGGCAUUGCUGACAGAUCACAGCUGCUGGGCCCAAAGGUCCCUUUGCACGCGGGACUUCAGGAAGUUGCUGCUGACCUAUGGGAGUUGGUGCAGAAAGAUGAAAUUUGUUAUCCUUGGCUGUAUCAACUCUCUCUCCUCUCCUUGGUGGUGAUAGUUUUGUUCUUAAAAGCCUCUUGUGAGAGAAUUUGUGGAUGAAGAACCUGUAAGAUCACAAGUGAAACAAUUUAUUGAUGUCAAUAGAUUUAUACACGUUCAUUAAGAAUCAAAACUAAACUAAAACAUCAGUCUGACUAAAGAGACCACCACAGAUAUUUCAUAUGCUGUACAUCAGUAACAAAGGGUACCAAAUAGUUAAUAUCCAUGUACUAGUCACAUGAGAAAUGUUUUAGGGUCAUUGACCAGUGUAGUCAGUACAGUGGUCCCAUGGUAUUUGUGGGGGAUUGGUUCCAGGAAUCUCUUGGACACCAACUCCGUGGAUGAUCAGACAAUAUAAAAUGUGGGUCAGGUGCGGUGGCUCAUACCUGUAAUCCCAGCAUUUUGCGAGAAUCACUUGAGGCCAGUUCAAGAUCAGCCUGUGCAACAUAGCAAGACUCCACC